AUUGAACGCUGGCGGCGUGCCUAAUACAUGCAAGUAGGACACAGUUGCGAAUGGGUGAGUAACGCGUAGGUAACUACCUAUAAGAGGGGGAUAAAUAUUGGAAACGAUAGCUCAUACCUCAUACUUGUAGAUGGAUCUGCGUUGUAUUAGCUAGUAGGUCGGGUAAAGGCCUACCUAGGCAAGGAUACAUAGCCGACCUGAGAGGGUGAUCGGCCACACUGGGACUGAGACACGGCCCAGACUCCUACGGGAGGCAGCAGUAGGGAAUCUGCGGCAAUGGGGGGAACCCUGACCGAGCAACGCCGCGUGAGUGAAGAAGGUUUUCUGAUCGUAAAGCUCUGUUGUUAAGGAAGCGGUACUUAACCAGAAAGGGACGGCUAACUACGUGCCAGCAGCCGCGGUAAUUC
rnacentral:rRNA from 1 species